rnacentral:rRNA from 1 species
CUACGGGGCGCUGCAGUGGGGAAUUUUGCGCAAUGGGGGAAACCCUGACGCAGCAAUACCGCGUGAGUGAAGAAGGCCUUUGGGUCGUAAAGCUCUUUUCUUGGGGAAGAUAGUGACGGUACCCAAGGAAUAAGCACCGGCUAACUCCGUGCCAGCAGCCGCGGUAAUACGGAGGGUGCAAGCGUUGUUCGGAUUUACUGGGCGUAAAGGGCACGUAGGCGGCACAGCAAGGUAAGGGUGAAGUCCCGGGGCUCAACUCCGGAACUGCUCUUAAAACUGCUGAGCUAGAGAUAGUCAGAGGCGGGUGGAAUUCCAGGUGUAGAGGUGAAAUUCGUAGAUAUCUGGAGGAACACCGGUGGCGAAGGCGGCCCGCUGGGGCUAUUCUGACGCUAGGGUGCGAAAGCGUGGGGAGCAAACGGGAUUAGAUACCCCACGUAGUC